rnacentral:rRNA from 1 species
UACGUAGGUGGCGAGCGUUAUCCGGAAUGAUUGGGCGUAAAGGGUGCGUAGGCGGCCUGCUAAGUCUGGAGUGAAAGGUACCGGCUCAACCGGUACAGGCUCUGGAAACUGGCGGGCUAGAGAGCAGGAGAGGUAAGUGGAAUUCCUAGUGUAGCGGUGAAAUGCGUAGAUAUUAGGAGGAACACCAGUGGCGAAGGCGGCUUACUGGACUGUAACUGACGUUGAGGCUCGAAAGCGUGGGGAGCAAACAGG